AUUGAACGCUGGCGGAAUGCUUUACACAUGCAAGUCGAACGGCAGCACGGACUUCGGUCUGGUGGCGAGUGGCGAACGGGUGAGUAAUACAUCGGAACGUGCCCAAUCGUGGGGGAUAACGUAGCGAAAGCUACGCUACUACCGCAUACGAUCUAAGGAUGAAAGCGGGGGAUCGCAAGACCUCGCGCGAAUGGAGCGGCCGAUGGCAGAUUAGGUAGUUGGUAGGGUAAAGCCCUACCAAGCCGACUAUCUGUAGCUGGUCUGCGAGGAUAACAAGCCAAACUUGGACUGAGACACGGGCCAGACUCCUAAGGGAGGCAGCAUUGGGGAAUUUUGGACAAUGGACGAAAGUCUGAUCCAGCCAUUCCGCGUGCAGGAUGAAGGCCCUCGGGUUGUAAACUGCUUUUGGACAGCAGGAAAAGGCUCUGGUUAAUACCUUGGGCUCAUGACGGUACUGUAAGAAUAAGCACCGGCUAACUACGUGCCAGCCGCCGCAGUAAGAC
rnacentral:rRNA from 1 species